rnacentral:lncRNA from 1 species
AAUUGCGGCUCCUACCGAAAAUGACCGAAAAACGGACAACGAUUUUCGGAAAAUUUCCUGAAUAAAAAACACGAUUUCAAAGAAGUAUUUCUAAGUAAAUAUUUGACUGAAUGCCCUAAUUUUGAAUUCUUUACACCUUUGAAAUGUCUGCUAUUCAUCUAUCAUGCAAUUGAUUUGAUCAAAAUUGUUAAAAGCUGCGGUUAUUUGGUUUUAAAUAGAUGUGUAAAAACGGCGAAUAUGUGUUCCCAUAUGACAAAAAUAUCUGGAAAUUUCAAACACCCUUUAAUCUAACUUUUCAGAUGAUUUCUCUUAAA